rnacentral:rRNA from 1 species
UACGGGGGGGGCAAGCGUUGUUCGGAAUUACUGGGCGUAAAGGGCUCGUAGGCGGUCCGUCACGUCGGGAGUGAAACUCAGGGCUCAACCCUGAGCGUGCUUCCGAUACGGGCGGACUAGAGGUAUGCAGGGGAGAACGGAAUUCCUGGUGUAGCGGUGGAAUGCGCAGAUAUCAGGAGGAACACCGGUGGCGAAGGCGGUUCUCUGGGCAUUACCUGACGCUGAGGAGCGAAAGCAUGGGGAGCGAACAGG